CCUUCCCUCCCCACAUCCCCAAAAGUUAAUUUUAAUGAAGUCCAAUUUAUUUUUUAUUUUGCCACCUGUGCUUUUGGUGUCAUAUGUAAGAAACCACUGCCAAAUUCAAAGUCAUGAAGGUUUGCCCCUGUGUUUUCUUCUAAGAGUUGUAUGGUUUUAGCUUUUAUAUUUAGGUUUGAUGCCUCAAUUCACUCUUAAAGGAAAAAGGAACCCAUCUGAGUACAGAGCUGAUUUCCCUUUUUGUCUCUCUGGGUUGGGACCCGGGAAGCAGCUACUUUAAACCCAAAGAAUCUUUUAUUUAGUACAUAGUAAUGUUCUGCAGAUGUCUUCUAUUAUCAUCUGAUCCCUACAGCAUGUUACUGUAUUCUGAAAACCGGAAUCUGGCAAUGAAGAAUCAUAUUGAUAAGCAGUGAUGACAUUGACCUUUAGCAGCACCAGCUUCACGCCUGAGGAUGAACCUCACUUCUCCCAUGUGGGACCUCAGUUUCCCCAAAGCCUGAGGACCACACCCCCAACCCUGGCAGUGCCCCUGGAGGGCCCCCUAGUGCCACGACCAGGGCCCAGCACCUCGGAUGGAACAGAGUUCUCAUUCAAGAAAGAAAUCAGAAGGAAGGAAAUUCUGACCACUGCUACAACAUGAUGGACCUUGAGGACGUCACGCUGAGUGAAGUAAGACAGUCCCAGAAGGACAAAUAUUGUGUGAUUCCACUUAUAUGAGGUCCCUAGAGUCAUGAC